CAAUAGCGUAUAUUAAAGUUGUUGCAGUUAAAAAGCUCGUAGUUGGAUUUCUGGUCGGAAGCUCCUGUCCUCUGAUGAGCGUACAAGUGCGUCCUACCAUCCUUCUGUUAACCUUUAAGGCUUUCGCGGCUUUCUAGGGGCUCAGAUAUUUUACCUUGAGAAAAUUAGAGUGUUUCAGGCAGGCUAGCGCCGGAAUACAUUAGCAUGGAAUAAUGGAAUAGGACUUUUGCCUCUUCUGUUGGUCAUGAGGCUCGAGUAAUGAUUAAUAGGGAUAGUUGGGGGCAUUAGUACUUAACUGUCAGAGGUGAAAUUCUCGGAUUUGUUAAAGACUAACUUAUGCGAAAGCAUUUGCCAAGGAUGUUUUCAUUGA
rnacentral:rRNA from 1 species